GCCAGACUCCUACGGGAGGCAGCAGUGGGGAAUAUUGGGCAAUGGGCGCAAGCCUGACCCAGCAACGCCGCGUGAAGGAAGAAGGCUUUCGGGUUGUAAACUUCUUUUCUGGGGGACGAAGAAAGUGACGGUACCCCAGGAAUAAGUCACGGCUAACUACGUGCCAGCAGCCGCGGUAAUACGUAGGUGGCAAGCGUUAUCCGGAUUUAUUGGGUGUAAAGGGCGUGUAGGCGGGAAUGCAAGUCAGAUGUGAAAACUAUGGGCUCAACCCAUAGCCUGCAUUUGAAACUGUAUUUCUUGAGUGCUGGAGAGGCAAUCGGAAUUCCGUGUGUAGCGGUGAAAUGCGUAGAUAUACGGAGGAGCACCAGUGGCGAAGGCGGCCUGCUGGACAUUAACUGACGCUGAGGCGCGAAGGCGUGGGGAGCAAACAGGAUUAGAUACCCCGGUAGUG
rnacentral:rRNA from 1 species